rnacentral:lncRNA from 1 species
CCACCUUCUAAUCAUUGAAGUCUCUUAGCAGCCUUAAAUUCCACCCUCCAUGACCCAGAUUCUGAUCCCAAUAAUCCUCCACAGUGACGUUCCUUUGGGCAGCCAUGGAAAAAAGGUCCGGGAAUCUUUGGGAUAGCACAUUGUUUCCACACCAAGGGUCAAUCCAAAACCUAAUUUUAUUGCCUUUUCCCACCUUGAGCACCAUAUUUUCCCAACACCAAGCAGAC